GACUCGGGUCGUGGCUGACGACCCGACGGUUCGCCUGCGGCCGCCUCCAACAACGGUGGAAACCGCACACAGGGACCGCGGGCCCUCGGUGCAGCAAAUCGGAAAGUGCUGCGGUCGGCGGCCCUGGGCUCUGAGCGCUCAAGCGAGCAGAGGGGUGGAGGGGCUCUCCCCACCCACAGGAGGCUCUCGGCGGGGCGCAGCCAAUUCUGCGCGCCCAAGGCUCCCCUCUGCCGUGGAUCGCGUGUGCCGAGUGUUGGCCUCUUCCCCGAAAGGGCCAGACGGACCAAGGGGGCCUUCCCAGCCGGCUGCAAGCUCUCAGACGCUAAAAUGGGAACAAAGCUUCCAGAAAGGCAGCGCCUUUGGGCGGCCGCGCCCCGCCCAGCCGCGGGGGCCAUUGAUACAGAGGCUUGCUGCGCUUGGUGUGCGCGGCCCGGCCGGGCCUCUGGAAACGCCCAUGAGAAAUGAGCUCAUGCUGGAUGCGCGCGCUCCUUGGGCGCAACUGCCCAGCGCAAAACGGGCCCCGAAAGCAGGUGAGGGGAAAUGCCGUCAGGCCGGAUAUCCUGAAGCCUCCGAGGAAAUGGGGGGGUCAGAGGAGCCCGUGGUAGCUUUGGAUCUUUUGGAACUAGGGUGAUCUAUAAAAGUGCAGCUUGAGAAGAUUUCAUACAUAAGACCAGCGUCCAUUGUUCUACCAUAGAACCAGUUCCUUUGGUCUGCUUUAGAACAGUGAGGUAUGGCUACGUCAAGAUAACAGAGAAAGUAGAACAGACAGUUGCCAUCCUGAUUGUAAUCCAGUGGUGCCUGUAAUUUCUACCUGCAGAGUCAUCUCUUUCUGUUAAGAUGCUGUCUCCAGAAAGCACAUGUUAAAGGACCUAUAUUUGAUCAGAUUACCUGGCUCUUGCUUUGAAACACUGAUGAAGGACUUGGGACAGAACAAAGUGAGUGGAGGACACUUCAAUCUAAAGUGAUCUUAAAGGAGGAGUAGUAGGAUUUGAAGAUGAAGAAAGAAGAGGGGAGGUAAAUUACUUUCCAUCACUUCAAUUUCAACCCAUCAGAUAAAACCUCUCUUUAGUAAACCUGCAUGUGGGUGGAGCUGUAACAGCAAUUAAGGACAGUGUGACUCUGUUCUUCUGACUUUGGGAAAACCAGUUUGGCUGGAACAAAAAGCUGAUAGAGAAGACUAAUGGAAGAUAAGGUUGAAAAGGUAGGUUUGAGGGAGCUUUGUUACAGGAAAAAAAAAAAAAAAAAACUGGGCUUUGUCCUGUAGACAGUGGAGAGGUACUUUAGCAGAUGUAAGACAUUACCAUUAUAGGAAAGCCUCUGAAGUAACAUACACUGUGGUUUUUCCUGUUGCUGAAAAUAUGCCCAGAGUAACAAGAUGUGGCAUAGUUGGUUAUGUGUCUUAUAACCAGUGAGGUGUGCCCAAAUGGGAAAUUAAUGAAUGACUACCCAAAAAGAAGAGGGAGAGUGUUUGAAACACUGUCACUGUGAAAUAGACUGGUUGUAUGAAAAGUUGCAUAUCAAGCCUUUGGCAAAUUAUAUAAAUACUCUGAUUUUGACAUCUUAAAGGAGUAUACUAUAGAAAAUAAAAGAAAAACACUUGAAUCUGUUACAGGAAACGGGUCAUGAUCCAGACCCCAGGAGAGGGUUCUUGGAUCUCACACAAGAAAGAAUUCAGGGUGACCCCACAGUGCAAAAGUCAAAGCAAGUAUUAAGAAAAUGAAGGAAUAACAGAAUGGCUACUACAUAGAGCA
rnacentral:lncRNA from 1 species